GUAAUUUGUAGAGGAUGCUUUUGGUGAGGUGCCGCCCGAGUUCCCUGGAACGGGACGCCACAGAGGGUGAGAGCCCCGUCUGGCUGGCCACCGAGCCUCUGUAAAGCUCCUUCGACGAGUCGAGUAGUUUGGGAAUGCUGCUCAAAAUGGGAGGUAUAUGUCUUCUAAAGCUAAAUAUUGGCCAGAGACCGAUAGCGCACAAGUAGAGUGAUCGAAAGAUGAAAAGCACCUUGAAAAGAGGGUUAAACAGUACGUGAAAUUGUUGAAAGGGAAGCGCUUGUGACCAGACUUGGGCGCGGCGGAUCAUCCGGGGUUCUCUCCGGUGCACUUCGCCGCGUUCAGGCCAGCAUCAGUUCGUCGCGGGGGAAAAAGGCUUCGGGAACGUGGCUCCUCCGGGAGUGUUAUAGCCCGUUGCAUAAUACCCUGCGGUGGACUGAGGACCGCGCAUCUGCAAGGAUGCUGGCGUAAUGGUCACCAGCGACCCGUCUUGAA
rnacentral:rRNA from 1 species